rnacentral:rRNA from 1 species
UACGUAGGGUGCAAGCGUUGUUCGGAUUCAUUGGGCGUAAAGGGUGCGUAGGUGGCGCCGUAAGUCGGGUGUGAAAUUUCGGAGCUUAACUCCGAAACUGCAUUCGAUACUGCGGUGCUUGAGGACUGGAGAGGAGACUGGAAUUCAUGGUGUAGCAGUGAAAUGCGCAGAUAUCAGGAGGAACACCGAUGGCGAAGGCAGGUCUCUGGGCCACUACUGACGCUGAGAAGCGAAAGCAUGGGGAGCGAACAGG